AUUGAACGCUGGCGGCAUGCCUUACACAUGCAAGUCGAACGGUAACAGGUCUUCGGAUGCUGACGAGUGGCGAACGGGUGAGUAAUACAUCGGAACGUGCCUAGUAGUGGGGGAUGACUACUCGAAAGAGUGGCUAAUACCGCAUGAGAUCUACGGAUGAAAGCAGGGGAUCGCAAGACCUUGUGCUACUAGAGCGGCCGAUGGCAGAUUAGGUAGUUGGUGGGAUAGAAGCUUACCAAGCCGACGAUCUGUAGCUGGUCUGAGAGGACGAUAGGCCAACAUGGGACUGAGAAACGGCCCAGACUCCUACGGGAGGCAGCAGUGGGGAAUUUUGGACAAUGGGCGAAAGCCUGAUCCAGCAAUGCCGCGUGCAGGAUGAAGGCCUUCGGGUUGUAAACUGCUUUUGUACGGAACGAAAAGCCCCGGGUUAAUACCCUGGGGUCAUGACGGUACCGUAAGAAUAAGCACCGGCUAACUACGUGCCAGCCGCCGCCGUAA
rnacentral:rRNA from 1 species